GAGUUUGAUCCUGGCUCAGGAUUAACGCUGGCGGUAUGCCUAACACAUGCAAGUCGAACGGAAUACUAAUUAAGAGAAUCUCACACUAGUGAGAGGUUCUCACGAGUAGUAUUUAGUGGCGGACGGGUGAGUAACACGUUGGAACCUGCCCCGAAGUGGGGAAUAACUGCUCGAAAGAGUAGCUAAUACCCCAUAGUAUCCGGUUUAUCCGGAUUAAAGAUUUAUCGCUUCGGGAGGGGCCUGCGUCUGAUUAGCUUGUUGGUGAGGUAAAAGCUCACCAAGGCGACGAUCAGUAGCUGGUUCGAGAGGAUGACCAGCCACACUGGGACUGAGAUACGGCCCAGACUCCUACGGGAGGCAGCAGUGAGGAAUCUUCCACAAUGGACGAAAGUCUGAUGGAGCAAUACCGCGUGCAGGAAGACGCUUUUCGGAGUGUAAACUGCUUUUGUCGUCGAAGAUUAUGACUGUAGACGAAGAAUAAGGACCGGCUAACUACGUG
rnacentral:rRNA from 1 species